AGGUAAUUUUCCAGGCACUGCUCAGCAUCCUUGGAGAGGCAUCAUCAUGAAAUUACAGAGAGAACAGGCAGUGGAGAAGGAGCUGUUUCUCCCCAACCACAUGCAUCUGCAAGAGUGAGGAGUGGAACAGGCAGAGCCAGAGAACAGCAGAGUUGAGGUUUUCCAAGGAGGUACAUGCAGCAGAAUAUGCAAGAGAUUCGAGUGUGUCCAGAGGAAUUUAUCCUAACAAUUGACCAUGGAAGGUGACCAGAUGGGUGUGAAGAUAGUGUCUUGCAAUGUCGCCCAGGCUGGAGUGCAGUGGUGCCCCUCCUGUUGUGAAUAGUCCUGCUCUUGUCGCCCAGGCACGACCUCAGUGUGGCAUGAUCAUUCAGUGGCACAUUCUCAGCUCACUGCAACCUCGAGAUCGCUCAGUGGCACGAACUCGGCUCACUGCAGCCUCCGCCUCCCGGGUUCAAACGAUUCUCCUGCCUCAUCCUCCCGAGUAGCUGGGAUUACAGGCGCCCGCCAUCAUGCCCGGCUAAUUUUUGUAUUUUUAGUAGAGACGGGGUUUCACCGUGUUGGCCAGGCUGGUCUCGAACUCCUGACCUCAGGUGAUCCACCCCCAUCAGCCUCCCGAAGUGAAAAACCACAGUUUGUUUACCCAUUAUCCACUCCUCCCUUGAUGGACACUUCAGUUUCUCUACUUUUGACUAUUAUGAAUAAAGCUGCUAUAAACACG
rnacentral:lncRNA from 1 species